rnacentral:rRNA from 1 species
ACCCCUUUUCUCAGGGAAGAAUAAUGACGGUACCUGAGGAAUAAGUCUCGGCUAACUACGUGCCAGCAGCCGCGGUAAUACGUAGGAGGCGAGCGUUAUCCGGAUUUAUUGGGCGUAAAGAGGGCGUAGGCGGCUUUUCAAGUCGGAUGUAAAAUCCUGGGAGGGAUCAUUCGAUACUGAUAGGCUAGAGGGCAGCAGAGGGAGGUGGAAUUCCCGGUGUAGUGGUGAAAUACGUAGAUAUCGGGAGGAACACCAGUGGCGAAGGCGACCUCCUGGGCUGUUGCUGACGUUGAGGCCCGAAGGCGUGGGGAGCAAACAGGAUUAGAUACCCGGGUAGUCCA